GAUGAACGCUGGCGGCGUGCCUAAUACAUGCAAGUCGAGCGAACAGACGAGGAGCUUGCUCCUCUGACGUUAGCGGCGGACGGGUGAGUAACACGUGGAUAACCUACCUAUAAGACUGGGAUAACUUCGGGAAACCGGAGCUAAUACCGGAUAAUAUAUUGAACCGCAUGGUGCAAUAGUGAAAGACGGUUUUGCUGUCACUUAUAGAUGGAUCCGCGCCGCAUUAGCUAGUUGGUAAGGUAACGGCUUACCAAGGCAACGAUGCGUAGCCGACCUGAGGGGGGGAUAGGCCACACUGGAACUGAGACACGGUCCAGACGCCUACGGGAGGCAGCAGUCGGGAAUCUUCCGCAAUGGGCGAAAGCCUGACGGAGCAACGCCGCGUGAGUGAUGAAGGUCUUCGGAUCGUAAAACUCUGUUAUUAGGGAAGAACAAAUUUGUAAGUAACUAUGCACGUCUUGACGGUACCUAAUCAGAAAGCCACGGCUAACUACGUG
rnacentral:rRNA from 1 species